ACGGCUGCUGGUGGAAUAAAGGGGCUGAAUUGAGAGAGAUUCUGGCAAGAAGAAACAGCGGCUGGGGAUCAACAUAUCAUACAUACAAGCUGCUGAAUUUGGGCAGUAAAAAAAGGCAGAGCUGCUGGGAAAAAAGGGCAAAGAAAAAGGGCUGGUUUAUAUAUAUAUAGCAAUUUCGGAGGAAAAUUGAAAGGAAUUGGAGAUUAAUCUAUAGACAAAAAGGCAUCCAAUUGGGGGAUUAAUAUACAUUGAUACACACGGAACCGAAAGGAAGAAAAACCAUAGAGAAGCUGGUCGGAAAUAAGAGAUUUAACAUUGGAUUUCUAGAAAGGCUGUCGGCUGAGUUUUCUUUGUGCAACUUUCUUCAAUAAUUCGUGCAAGGAGCUUGAAAAUUAAUCAUGUUUCGUCAAAUUUCGGUGAUAUCUUUCCACUUUUAUUUGUUUAAU
rnacentral:lncRNA from 1 species